AACGCACAUUGCGCCCGCCAGCAUUCUGGCGGGCAUGCCUGUCCGAGCGUCAUUUCAACCCCCAAGCACUGCUUGGUGUUGGGGCACUACGCGCGAGCGUAGGCCCUUAAAAUCAGUGGCGGACUCGCUGAAGGUCCGGGCGCAGUAGUAACAACUCGCCCGCGGUCCCCAGCGUGCCCCUGCCGUUAAACCCCCAAACUUACAGAAGGUUGACCUCGGAUCAGGUAGGAAUACCCGCUGAACUUAA
rnacentral:misc_RNA from 1 species